rnacentral:lncRNA from 1 species
AGCAAACCUGCACCUUAGAUGCUAGGGUUGAGGGUUUUGUGCCUAUAAAAGGCUCCAAAACGCAAGAAAGAACAAGAGGACAAGAGGGAGGCGGCGGAAGAGUAGAUAGAGAGAGAAAAAAGAGAGAAAAAGAGAAAAAAAAAAAAAGGAAAAAUUUCUGCAGAAUUUUCGCAGAAAAGAGCUGAUUUUCAGCCAUUUUGGAACUCAAUUAUCUCUUUCAUCGCAGCUUCAUUCGAUAAGAUUUCAGUUUCCACAUAAACUAGGACGUGAGGAGAGAAAUUUUUGUUUAGAUAUCUCUUGCAAAAAACGUCUAGAAACCUCUCAAAUCGAAGCUCGAACCUGCUUACCUGGCAGAAAAUCUGAAAAAAAAAGUUAAGCCAGGGUUGGGGAGAAGGCAAAUUCGUGAUCAAAAUUUGAUGUCGAAUCUUGGUCUUUUAGAAGUUUAUUUUAAUAUAAAACAUCUACACUUGUAGAGGUGUAAUUUUGGUUCAGUUUUCUUCACGAAAAAACCUCUCUAAAUAGUCCAAAUUUCUGCCCAAAAUUCACCCAUAGUCAGCUCCUGGACGUUCUUGGGCAGAAUUUCGCAGCUUCAAUUUUUCGUUCGGGGGAGUGUUGUCGUCAAAUCCUCCUCUUCAUUUAGCUCUAUAAGACGAUUAAGGUAACUUAAGUCACCUUAUUCUUGUUAUAUACAUUCAGAUUUGUUCCCAAAAGAGGCUAAAAAAUCUGCUACUUCAGUAUCUUUCUUCCUGUUUCAUUUUUUAGAAGUUGCUGUCUUCAAUUGGAGGUUAUGAAACUUUGUUAAUGUUUUUGGUGAUGUUUGCUAAGAGUUUGGGAAAGAAUUUGACUUGAUUUGUUCAGGUCUUGACUGUUUUCCUUUUAUGAUGCAACAUUUGUGUCACUCUUUGCUAUGUUUGACAAACCCAGAAGAGUCGCAGGAGAGAGAAUAAGAAACCAGCGAAGAAGAUGAUGGCUUCGAUUGCUUGCAUUUUUUUUCCAAAUAUUGCAUUUUGACCCCCCAACUUUGGCCUAAUUCCACUACGGCUCAAAAACUUCUGCAAUUGAAUCAAUUUUCCCCCUAUUUUGUCUUAAUCAUUUUUUGCAUGUUUAAAUCUGUCUCUUGAGCAACUUAUUUUCUGGUUUUAGGAUAUACUGAUAUAGUUAGGGUUUAAUAAUUUUAGCUGCUUUUUUUUAUCAUGUUGGAUUUUAGUGAAAUAGGUGAUUUGGGUUAAAAGGUUAUUUUGUUUGUGUUUAAGUGAGUGGGUUUGGGUUAAUUUUUUUGGGUUUUUGGCUUGGGAUGUAGGGUUAAAACCCAGCUGUUUUGUUGGAUUAUUUUGGGUCAAAAUGAUGGACUAACCCGCUUCUUUUGCCUUGGACUUUCGAUUAGGCCAAAUGGCUUUUUACCCAAAGAAAUGUUGAGGAUGGUCUAGUGGUCCAAUUCCUUAAGUGACCUGGUGACGAUAAUUGCGAGUUAGUCCCUAACAUUUUUGUAAUUAUUUUAUGGCUCUAAAAGCUUUAGAUUUUUUCAAUUAGAUCCCUAAUUUAAUUGUAAUUGGGUUCCUAAACUUUAAUUUUCUUUAAAUUUGACCCCUAAUUUUUGUAAUAAUUAUAAUUUAAUCCUAAAAACUUUCUUAGUUUUUACAAUUAGGUCCCUAAUAGUUUUGAUUUCUUAAAUACAAGUUUUCUUUCUUCUUUAACUGUUAAUUAUACUUCAUUUAAGUGCUUUAAUUCGUAGAUUUCAUGAUUAUUUUCAUUUCUUUAUAAUUAAAUUGGUGCCUUGAUCAUUUUGUUUAUUUUGGAGCAUAAAUAUGGCAAAUUUCACCCCCAUUUAAUCACCACUUCAAGGGAGGAUACCUCUUUUAUUAUUUUAAACUCUUUUAUUUGCUCCAAUGUGUUUAAUUGCAUGUUUUGAGUGCUUUUUUUUAAAUUAGUCAUUCUUAUUCAUUUUUAAGUUUCAUUUGUUUUAUUUACUUUUGAUGAUUAUUUGAAAGGCAUCAAAAUGGAAAGUUGUAAUAGACAGGUGCUAAAGACAUGUAUUUAGCUAGCCUAUCUAAUAGAUAGGUUUUAAUCUUUCUUAAAAAUGUAUUUAGUUAAAUAAAUGUAAUAGUUAGGUUAUUAUUUUUUAGAAUUCCCCCCUUUAGAUUGUAGUUAGGGCCCCAAAUGUAAUAGUUAGGUCCUCAUGUGUGUCUAUUUGCUUGUGUGCUUGCAUGCUUAUGUACUUAUGUAUUUUAUUCGCGUUCUUAUGAGAUUUGCAUUUAGAUAUUAUGCUUACGUGCUUUGUGCUUA